rnacentral:rRNA from 1 species
UACGUAGGGCGCAAGCGUUGUCCGAAGUUACUGGGCGUAAAGCGCGCGUAGGCGGGUCUCUAAGUCUGGUGUGAAAGGUUCAGGGCUCAACCCGAAGAGUGCACUGGAUACUGGAGACCUUGAGUUGGGCAGAGGAGAGUGGAAUUCCUGGUGUAGCGGUGAAAUGCGUAGAUAUCAGGAGGAACACCGAUGGCGAAGGCAGCUCUCUGGGCCCAAACUGACGCUCAGGUGCGAAAGCGUGGGGAGCGAACGGG